AUGAUUUUCUAUUUGUUAUUGUCCUCUGUUUUCUUCCUCAUCUAUCUCUCCCUCAAAGCUACCCAGAGACUGCAGAAAGCAGACAGUUUUCCAAUGGUACCAAUGAAAUAUGGAGAUAGUCCAACAGAGAGCAAACCUCCCACACGAUUUACUGAACCUGAGCAUAGCACUAUAACAGGUAAGCCACGAGAUUCUGAGAGUUACGGGAGUCUUUACAGUGAGGACGAGCCCUCGGAGCUCACGAAGGACAACACACACAACAAGACAGAGAAUAAGAAACCUUCAGCUGAUAAACCCAGCAAACAUGUUCACACUAGGUUCUGCUUGUUAUUCUGACCCGUUUCUGGAGCCCAGAUGUUUCCAAUACUCUACAGAGUCUAAUAUAAUGACAUAAGCUGUUAAUAUGGAAAAUGUAUGUCAGAGACAAGUUCAUGGUCAUAUACUAAAUUAUUAUUGAAGUGUUUUCUACACCUCAAAUAGUCUAUGAGAUAAAUAUUUCUGUUUUUAGGCUUUAGGUAUGAAUAUUUUCUCUUUAUUAAUUUCACUAAUAAGUGGCUUUGUUUUACCUUUGGGUUAAACAGAAGUGAAAUCUAAAAGAGAUGUAAACCCCUGAGCAAUAAUUGAUUUCAGGAGUGUAAUAAAGGAGCCUUUGGACUGUCACAGCUGAUUUUUCCUUAUCUUAACUAAAUAAUAGUAAUAAUAAUAAUGUAUAAACCUUCCUUUGGCCUUCUCUUCCUUGUAGCAAAAGUGUCACUGCUUUAAUACAUUUUAACAUGAUUAAAUAACUCUUUUAUUUAGAGGGAUAUUUCACCCAAAAAUUAAAAUUCUAUCAUCAAUUACUCAGCCUGAACAAAUUUCUAUUUUCUUAUGGUGAACACAAAAGAAGAUAUUUUAGAAAGAUAUUGUUAAUCAAACAGUUGAGCCACUGACUUCUGUAGUUUGGGGAAGAAGAUACUGUGGAAGUCAAAGUUAUCGUUAACUGUCUGGUUACCAACAUUCUUCAAAAUAUCUUCCUUUGCUUUGGUACAACUUGAGAAUGAUUAAAUAUAAAAGACUUUUAAUUUCCAUUUUUGGGAGAACCAUUAAUUUUAAACAUGGUUUUAAGUAAACUGUUAUGUUAAAGUUGAACAUGCUAACGCUGAAUAAAAUAGUGGGAGAUUUUGUGGAAAACAAAUUGUUGUAAAUAUUGUUCAUCAUUCAAAGAACUAACAAUUGCACCAAACUCAGUAUAGUGAGCGGUUCUUCACAGCAGACACCCGAUCCAAACGACAGAGUGGGACUGACAGGUCAUCGGAUGAGACCAUGGGAUGACUUGAGUUUCUUUAGCUGGAUGAAUUUGAGAAACCAAAUCUGUAACAGGAGUCAAAGCAUUGAGGUCAGGUGUGGGUAUUAAUUCACCGCAGGAUGCAUUGACCGCAAUACUGCACUUCCUCUUUGUCAGCUUCGCAAGCCUCAGUUUUGUGGGUGUUUCGGUUUUUCCCGCCAUUAGUUUGGGCUUCACGAGUCUGUUUCUGCUAUUGUUUGGAGUUCACAUGUGCUUCUUUCCGACAGGUGUUCAGCCAGUACAGGUCUAUUUGUGUAAAUAUCAUCCACCGGCAACAGGAAAGUUACCGUCUUGACUUUGGCUCUAAAAUGUCAAAUAACAAUUAGCAUUAAAGUUACCAAGUGCUAGUUAAUAUUUCAUACCAACUAAAGCCAAACUCACCUGUUUUUGUUGACGUACUCCUGAAGGGAAUGUCUGUUGGUUAACUUCUCCAUCUCUGGUUUAGAAUAGGCACUAGAAGGACGGCUGUGUGAACCAUCAUGUAGUUUUGCCCAUUUGCUGUUGUUCACAGUCUCCUCAUAUCGUCUCGGCUUGUGCAAAAUCUCAUUCUCAGAGUUUGACGAAAUGGAGUAUCUUCGCACGGUCAUAAUUAUGUUUUCUAUAGAAAUAAAGCAGAAGGAAUGUACUAUAACCUGUUUUGAAUAACAGCCAAUACUUGAUUAAGAAUUGCAUUACUGGUUUGGAAAGAGAUAAAUCUAUUGAUCUCUGCAUCAUUAUUUUCAUCAGUACAUUUAUCAUGAAUGACCUUCCAGGUCCACGGUCCUGUCUAUAGUUUUCAAUCUAACCACAGUCUUCAGAAUUGUUUUAAAAUGACAGGCUUCGUGUUUGACUAGGGCUGGAGCUACUCUUGGCGUAACAGAUGGCGUAUUAGUUCAGAAAAAAUUUAGGUUUUUAAAGAUGCAAUUCCUAAUUGAUAAAUUUGAAAACAGCAUGAAAAAAGAGGUUUUUAAAAAUGAUGACGCAUAUUUAGUCACUUGACAUAUUUUUCUAACCUUUUAUUCACUUUCACAAUUUUGCUAAAUAUAUUAGUUACUUUGUACAAUUUUAUUAUGACAUUCUUGUAAAGAUUACAUACAUUUUGUAUACAUGUGUGUGUGUGUGUGUGUAAAGACCUCUAACACUAGCUUGCUCUAUUCUUUUUCUCUUCUUUCUGCUUUCUUUUUAUUUAUUAUAUUACUUAUAAGCCUAUGCUACGUGUACUAUGUUAACCUAACUGAGACUUGUUAUAGCUCUUAUAUAUCAUUGCACUGUUGUUUUUGAUUGCUUCCACUGUCCUCAUUUGUAAGUCGCUUUGGAUAAAAGCGUCUGCUAAAUGAAUAAAUGUAAAUGUAAAUGAAUUGUAAUUUCACAUUGGCUGGACUGAAGCAAAACGUGGGCAGUGAAUGUGGUAAAGAGUAAUGUGAGAACUUAACUUUGUCUGGUCUCUCUGUACCAUCCAGGGAACUAUUAUGAGGUUUUACGCAUACACAGUAAGAUAAUAUUAGCGUUUUAUGAUGUUUUAGUGUGAAUUAGAAACUUUUGGAAAAUGCUCAAAAAGACUAUGGACAGUGUUUUAAAAUUAAAAACAUUUUUCCAGAUGUAUCUGGAUUAGAUUUAGUGUAUGCCAGAGUUGCCCACUCCUGUCUUAGGGCCUACUAUGGGACAGUGAUUAAACAACAGGUUUUACUGUAAAUCCACAGAGUGAAAAUAUAAACCAACAACAAAAAGAGCA
rnacentral:lncRNA from 1 species